GCUACCAUGCAGUCGGGCGAAGAAGCUCCUCCGGGAGUGGAUUAGCGGCGGACGGGUGAGUAACACGUGGGCAACCUGCCUCAAAGAGGGGGAUAGCCUCCCGAAAGGGAGAUUAAUACCGCAUAAAAGGUAAAUAUCGCAUGAUAAAUACCUUAAAGGAGAAAUCCGCUUUGAGAUGGGCCCGCGUCGCAUUAGCUAGUUGGUGGGAUAACAGCCCACCAAGGCGACGAUGCGUAGCCGACCUGAGAGGGUGAACGGCCACAUUGGAACUGAGAGACGGUCCAGACUCCUACGGGAGGCAGCAGUGGGGAAUAUUGCACAAUGGGGGAAACCCUGAUGCAGCAACGCCGCGUGAGUGAAGAAGGUUUUCGGAUCGUAAAGCUCUGUCAUCCGGGACGAUAAUGACGGUACCGGAAGAGGAAGCCACGGCUAACUACGUGCCAGCAGCCGCGGUAAUACGUAGGUGGCGAGCGUUGUCCGGAAUUACUGGGCGUAAAGGGUGUGCAGGCGGAUAUUUAAGUGAGAUGUGAAAGACCCGGGCUUAACCCGGGCAGUGCAUUUCAAACUGGAUAUCUAGAGUGCAGGAGAGGAGAACGGAAUUCCUAGUGUAGCGGUGAAAUGCGUAGAGAUUAGGAAGAACACCAGUGGCGAAGGCGGUUCUCUGGACUGUAACUGACGCUGAGGCACGAAAGCGUGGGUAGCAAACAGGAUUAGAUACCCUGGUAGUCCACGCCGUAA
rnacentral:rRNA from 1 species